rnacentral:rRNA from 1 species
CCUACGGGGGGCAGCAGUGGGGAAUAUUGGACAAUGGGGGGAACCCUGAUCCAGCCAUGCCGCGUGUGUGAAGAAGGCCCUCGGGUUGUAAAGCACUUUCAGUGAGGAAGAACGCCUGGUGGUUAAUACCCAUCAGGAAAGACAUCACUCACAGAAGAAGCACCGGCUAACUCCGUGCCAGCAGCCGCGGUAAUACGGAGGGUGCGAGCGUUAAUCGGAAUUACUGGGCGUAAAGCGCGCGUAGGUGGCUUGAUAAGCCGGUUGUGAAAGCCCCGGGCUCAACCUGGGAACGGCAUCCGGAACUGUCAGGCUUGAGUGCAGGAGAGGAAGGUAGAAUUCCCGGUGUAGCGGUGAAAUGCGUAGAGAUCGGGAGGAAUACCAGUGGCGAAGGCGGCCUUCUGGACUGACACUGACACUGAGGUGCGAAAGCGUGGGUAGCAAACAGGAUUAGAUACCCGAGUAGUC